UUAAAGACUAUGAAGAGGAAAAGUAAGUAUAUCUAUUGCCGCUACAGAGAACCGGAAAAUGCUGAGAACCGGUACGGGUUGGUAUGCUGAAGUUCACCUUGGAGUUGCUUGCUGAAAUCCGGUACCUUUGUCCGGAUGGUAGGCGGAGCCGGAGACCUUCACCGUUAGCAGCGAAGGAGAGUAUCGGCGUUAGGCCUGUACUUUAUUACGAUGUUUUGCCGGCAGGCGGACAACAAAGGUGGUACAGCGAGAUUAACUCUCGUCCUUUUA
rnacentral:ncRNA from 2 species